AGCGAAAGCAAGAGAGGUAGAGUCAAAUCGAAUCUGAUUUGGAUAGCCCUUUUUACAAGCAGUGUCACGGAGGGCUUCACAAAUGCCAUAGAUCGUCACCUUUAACCAACUUUAAGCCCUCAAGGAAGACAAGGAAAAACUCCCAUGAAAACUUGGGGAGGAAGAAUGGAAGAGAAAGAGAGAGAGCGAGCCUGUAUACAGUCAUCACAGGCACACAGAUGCCCAGGGAUGUUGUCCUUUUAAAGUGAUCUGUCCACUGACCCAGUGCUCCUCAAACUGAAAGGUUACUGACGCUGCCCCCAGAUAAAUUGCUCACAGUGUAUGGCCAAUGAGAUUUCUAUGACAGGGUAUCAGCUGUAAUUUUACUCUGUGAUGGUUGAAGACAGGACCUGUUGCUAUGGCGCUCUGGUGGGUCACCAGGAUUCCGAAAUGUCCUUUGGCGUCAUCACGGGUGAUUUGCCUGGCGUGUUGAACGCUACACGGUUCGACAUGGACACGAUACACUUUCACAUGACAUGUUGGGGAUCGGAGAGUGACAAACUUGCACAUUAUGAGUGGUUAUGGAUUUGAGAAAAUGUAAGGUACAACAUUUCAACAAGACACAGGCUCCGCAUAGGCUGAUGAGACAAGGAGGGAUGGCCGUUGGAGGGGUGAUGUCACAGAUAAUUGGCGUGAAUGUACUGACUAAGCUGAACUGGAAGUUGAGAGCUUAGUUAAAAGGGCCCUGGUCGUGGGAUUCAUGCCAAGCCUUGCACAUCGGAGCCCGAGGAGGCUGCUUUGGGCAGGAACAAUUUCAUCAGCCGAAGAUGAUUGAUGAGUUAGGUAAUGAAUCUCCCGGGCAACAAGGCAGAUACAGCUCCGGUCCUCCUCUCCCUCUCCCUCUCCUCCUCUCCCUCUGCUUCUUUCUAUCUCCGGGGCCUUAGAGGCCUAUCGCUAUUUCUACCUCCAUCCUUCCCUCCCUCCAUCCCUCCCUCCCUGCUCCUUCUGUUUCAAUCUCUAAGGUGCAAAAGGGCUGGAUUCACAAAGUACAUACUAGGUGUUCUUGAAGAUCGGAUAAGGUGCUUGAUCAGGAUUAGGUUGGACAAAGUUGAUAAUGUGUCUCUUUGUGCUAAUUUCUGUCACUGUUUUAUGUUGUCAAUGUUGCUACUACUGGUAUGUCUGGAUACAAUUUGGUUAAUCUUUUCACAACUCCAACCAAUGCUUUGAAUACAUUUAUUCAUGGCAGUGAAAACUUUCAUUUGAUGAUACCACAGAUACUACUAGUGUCUCCAUGGAACCUCAGAGAAACUUAAAAUGUCAACAUUACAAGUAUUAUCAGAUGAAAGAAAAAAUAUAAACAAUUAACUUUGAGCAAUUAAAACAUAGGGCUUCCUAUCAAUAAGUGAAACUUUUAAAUAUAGCUUUUUCAGUUUUUAGUUUCAGGUGUAAGCCUACUUUUACAUAUACUUUAAUUGUAUUUACCAUAACCUGAAAU